GCCUGUCUGGCUCAGUCAGUAGAGCGUGUGACUGUUGAUCUCAGGGUCACGAGUUCGAGCCCCGUGUUGGGUG